GUUGUAUGGUUAAGUGACUAAGCGUACACGGUGGAUGCCUUGGCAGUCAGAGGCGAUGAAAGACGUAGUAACUUGCGAUAAGCCCAGAUUAGGUAGUAACAACCAUUUGAGUCUGGGAUUUCUGAAUGGGGAAACCCACGUGCAUAAGCACGUAUCCUUACCUGAAUACAUAGGGUAAGGAGGCGAACCGGGGGAACUGAAACAUCUAAGUACCCCGAGGAAAAGAAAUCAACCGAGAUUCCGAAAGUAGCGGCGAGCGAAAUUGGACUAGCCCUUAAGCUUUACACGCGUUAGACGAACGGUCUGGAAAGUCCGACGAUACAGGGUGAUAGUCCCGUAGUUGACGACGUGUGUUCAGUGAAAUCGAGUAGGGCGGGACACGUGAUAUCCUGUCUGAAUAUGGGGGGACCAUCCUCCAAGGCUAAAUACUACUGACUGACCGAUAGUGAACCAGUACCGUGAGGGAAAGGCGAAAAGAACCCCUGUGAGGGGAGUGAAAUAGAACCUGAAACCGUGUACGUACAAGCAGUAGGAGCAGGCUUGUCCUGUGACUGCGUACCUUUUGUAUAAUGGGUCAGCGACUUAUAUUCAGUGGCAAGGUUAACCAUCUAGGGGAGCCGUAGGGAAACCGAGUCUUAACUGGGCGUUCAGUCUCUGGAUAUAGACCCGAAACCAGGUGAUCUAGCCAUGGGCAGGUUGAAGGUUGAGUAACAUCAACUGGAGGACCGAACCGACUAAUGUUGAAAAAUUAGCGGAUGACUUGUGGCUAGGGGUGAAAGGCCAAUCAAACCUGGAGAUAGCUGGUUCUCCCCGAAAGCUAUUUAGGUAGCGCCUCGGACGAAUACUACUGGGGGUAGAGCACUGUUAAGGCUAGGGGGUCAUCCCGACUUACCAACCCUUUGCAAACUCCGAAUACCAGUAAGUACUAUCCGGGAGACACACGGCGGGUGCUAACGUCCGUCGUGGAGAGGGAAACAACCCAGACCGCCAGCUAAGGUCCCAAAUUACUACUAAGUGGGAAACGAUGUGGGAAGGCUCAGACAGCCAGGAUGUUGGCUUAGAAGCAGCCAUCAUUUAAAGAAAGCGUAAUAGCUCACUGGUCGAGUCGGCCUGCGCGGAAGAUGUAACGGGGCUAAGUAGUAAACCGAAGCUGCGGCAAUAUACUUUUGUAUAUUGGGUAGGGGAGCGUUCUGUAAGCGGUUGAAGGUGUGUGGUAACGCAUGCUGGACGUAUCAGAAGUGCGAAUGCUGACAUGAGUAACGAUAAAGGGGGUGAAAAACCUCCUCGCCGGAAGACCAAGGGUUCCUGUCCAACGUUAAUCGGGGCAGGGUAAGUCGACCCCUAAGGCGAGGCCGAAAGGCGUAGUCGAUGGGAAACGGGUUAAUAUUCCCGUACUUCUUACAAUUGCGAUGGGGGGACGGAGAAGGCUAGGUGGGCCUGGCGACGGUUGUCCAGGUUCAAGUGCGUAGGCUUAAGAGUUAGGUAAAUCCGGCUCUUUUUAAGGCUGAGACACGACGUCGAGCUACUACGGUAGUGAAGUCAUUGAUGCCAUGCUUCCAGGAAAAGCCUCUAAGCUUCAGAUUGUAAGGAAUCGUACCCCAAACCGACACAGGUGGUCGGGUAGAGAAUACCAAGGCGCUUGAGAGAACUCGGGUGAAGGAACUAGGCAAAAUGGUACCGUAACUUCGGGAGAAGGUACGCUCUCGACGGUGAAGUCCCUCGCGGAUGGAGCUAUUGAGAGUCGCAGAUACCAGGUGGCUGCAACUGUUUAUUAAAAACACAGCACUGUGCAAAAUCGUAAGAUGACGUAUACGGUGUGACGCCUGCCCGGUGCCGGAAGGUUAAUUGAUGGGGUUAGACUUCGGUCGAAGCUCUUGAUCGAAGCCCCGGUAAACGGCGGCCGUAACUAUAACGGUCCUAAGGUAGCGAAAUUCCUUGUCGGGUAAGUUCCGACCUGCACGAAUGGCGUAAUGAUGGCCACGCUGUCUCCACCCGAGACUCAGUGAAAUUGAAAUCGCUGUGAAGAUGCAGUGUACCCGCGGCUAGACGGAAAGACCCCGUGAACCUUUACUACAGCUUGGCACUGAACAUUGACCCUACAUGUGUAGGAUAGGUGGGAGGCUUUGAAGCACGUACGCCAGUAUGUGUGGAGCCGUCCUUGAAAUACCACCCUUGUAGUGUUGAUGUUCUAACGUCGACCCCUUAUCGGGGUUGCGGACAGUGCCUGGUGGGUAGUUUGACUGGGGCGGUCUCCUCCCAAAGAGUAACGGAGGAGCACGAAGGUGGGCUAAUCACGGUUGGACAUCGUGAGGUUAGUGCAAUGGCAUAAGCCCGCUUGACUGCGAGAAUGACAAUUCGAGCAGGUGCGAAAGCAGGUCAUAGUGAUCCGGUGGUUCUGAAUGGAAGGGCCAUCGCUCAACGGAUAAAAGGUACUCCGGGGAUAACAGGCUGAUACCGCCCAAGAGUUCAUAUCGACGGCGGUGUUUGGCACCUCGAUGUCGGCUCAUCACAUCCUGGGGCUGAAGUCGGUCCCAAGGGUAUGGCUGUUCGCCAUUUAAAGUGGUACGCGAGCUGGGUUUAGAACGUCGUGAGACAGUUCGGUCCCUAUCUGCCGUGGGCGUUGGAAGAUUGAAGGGGGCUGCUCCUAGUACGAGAGGACCGGAGUGGACGAACCUCUGGUGUUCGGGUUGUGUCGCCAGACGCAUUGCCCGGUAGCUAAGUUCGGAAUCGAUAACCGCUGAAAGCAUCUAAGCGGGAAGCGAGCCCUGAGAUGAGUCUUCCCUGAUACUUUAAGUAUCCUAAAGGGUUGUCGGAGACUACGACGUUGAUAGGUCAGGUGUGUAAGUGCUGUGAGGCAUUGAGCUAACUGAUACUAAUUGCCCGUGAGGCUUAACCAUACAACACCCAAGGGGUUU
rnacentral:rRNA from 1 species